rnacentral:lncRNA from 1 species
AGGCCACUGAAGCAAAUCCAGAGAGAUUGAGAUAGAAGGCAGAGUAGUAUCUAAGAUUCAUUUGCUUACGGUGCUACUUUUUCCAUUGUUGUUUUGGCUUCCUAGGAAAUAAUUUCAGGAUGUUUUUUAGCUGAAACUGAAGGCUGAGACUGAAAACACUAAGAAGGGGCACUGUUUAGAAGAAAUCAGAAAGCAACAACCUAAACUGAAGAGGACAGGCAAGGAACAAAGGCAGAUCCAUGAAAGCAUGAGGUGGCUCUUAGGAAACAGCUGGAAGAAAUUUGGACAUGCGGACAGAGGAAACUAUGACUGGUUAACAAGUGAACCAGGUGUGCCAUUGCUGGAAACACAGCUACAGAGUCAGCACAAAGUAAGUUCAACCAAAGAGGAUAUAGAGCCAUUCUUAUGCAUUAUCUUGCCAGCUACCAUGAUGCUCUUCCUGGCAUUCCUGCUGCUUUUCCUCUACAGGCGCUGCCAGCGUCACAAUCCUCAGGCUCAGAUCUUCAGCAUUGAUCUCCCAGAGUCCCAUCCAGAGCAUGAGGUGACAGAUUUUCUCUCAGUACUGCCCUGGAGCAGUGAGCAAAACUUUCAAUACUCCACUCUUCUUCCUGAAACUGCCUUUCUUACUGUAUGUUUGCCUCCGUCCUACGAGGAAGCCACUAUGAAAGCUUCAGUAGCAGAAGAGGAGCAUAUUCAGUUCUUCCAGGAUCCAGUGCCUCCUUAUGAAGAGACCAAACAAUAACACUUCUGAGUCCAGGUUCUCAUAGUGUGAUAAGUUUAAAGCAAGAAAGAUCCAAACAAGGUACCACCUGCAAUCAAAAAAAGAAACUUUCACUGCUUAUUAUAUCUACAGAUAUCAUUUUCAAAUGAUAUAGAAAACAAAGUAACUCUACCACAUUAUUAUGUAGGAUCAGAGAAAACUAUAAAAUUAAUAUUGUACCUCAGACUUUUCUGCACUACAUGUCAUUCAAGUUGUUUCAGAAGACUAAAUCUAAGUAAUACAGUAAAAAAAGAAGAAGCUAUACUGGAGAUAUCACGCACACCCCCUACUGAAAGGGCUUAACAGUUUUCUGGGUUUUUUAAAAAUGCACUAAUUUAAGGAAUUUAAAGAAAUAUUCUUAGGAUGUCAAAAUAUAGAUUGUGCAAAUUCAGUUAAGAUAAAUCUGAAAUGUGAAUUUUUUGUAAUUAUAAAAUGAAGCUUUCUUCUACGGCUAGACACAGAAAUAAGCAUCACUUUAUUAUUUAAAAUUAUAAUUUUAAAGAAAAUAAAGACUAGUAGCUAUGUACA